UUGCUUACAGAAAAAAUGCAUGCAUGCGUCGCCUCAAAAUUGUGCUUAAAACUCAAGAAACCACGAAAUUAAGUAUUGGUCGGACGUAAUAAAACGUUUUCAAUCUAUUUGUUUAGUUAAAAAUAUGGCUCUUGGAUUGCCAAACAUGACAAUGGAUUCUCAACCUCCAAUUAGUUAAGAUAUCUCACCUCAAAUUAGUUUUUUUUUUUUUUGGUAGUACACCUCCAAUUAGUUAAUGGUAUAUAAACUAUAUAUGUGGGUUUUUUUAAUAGUGAGUAUCAUUGAUCGUUCAUGCAAAAAAAUGUAUAUUCGAGAAUGAAGAAAUCAGAGACAUGAGCUAUAAAAUUCCACGAACCAUUACCAUUUAGCAUAAUCUAG
rnacentral:lncRNA from 1 species